AUGGACGCGACAGCAGAAGCUCGCAGCGGAGAAGGAGCAAGCCACGGCGGCGAGCAAGAAAAAGAUGACCAGACGGAGAAGAAGGUGUCGUUGCUCGGCAUGUUCAGGUACGCCGACAGCCUCGACGUGCUGCUCAUGGUGGUCGGCUCGCUGGGGGCGGUGGGCAACGGCGUGGCGGGGUCCCUCAUGUUGGUCGUCUUUGGAGACGCCAUCAACUCCUUCGGGGAGAGCACCACCAGCACCGUCCUCCCCGCUGUCACCAAGGUUGUUCUCAACUUCGUAUAUUUGGGCAUUGGGAUAGCAGUUGCUUCCUUUCUUCAGAUGUCAUGCUGGACAAUGUCAGGAGAAAGGCAGUCAGCCCGCAUCCGUUCUUUGUACCUGAAAUCAGUUCUGAGGCAAGAUAUUGCAUUUUUCGACAUAGAAAUGACAACUGGUGAAGCAGUUUCUAGAAUGUCUAGCGAUACGGUCAUAAUUCAAGAUGCUCUUGGUGAGAAGGGAGGGAAGCUUGUACAAGCCAUAUCUGCCUUCUUUGGGGGUUUUAUCAUAGCAUUCACAAAAGGCUGGCUCCUGACUCUUGUCAUGCUAACGUCACUACCAUUAGUUGCUAUCGCCGGUGCAGUGUCUGCACAGCUGCUAACCCGGGUUUCUAGCAAGCGACUAACAUCGUAUAGUGAUGCUGCAGACACAGUUGAACAGACAAUUAGAUCUAUACGAACAGUUGUGUCCUUCAAUGGAGAGAAGAAAGCUAUAGAAAUGUAUAAUAAAUUCAUAAAGAAAGCCUACAAGACUGCUGUUGAGGAAGGCCUUGUCAAUGGUUUUGGCAUGGGCUCUGUCUUCUGCAUCAUAUUUAGCAGCUAUGGUCUAGGGUUCUGGUAUGGUGGAAAGCUAAUCAUUGACAAAGGAUACACUGGAGGGAAGAUCGUCAUUGUUUUGUUUGCCGUAAUGACUGGUGCAACUUCAUUAGGUAGUGCAACACCAUCAAUUUCUGCAAUUGCGGAAGGUCAAUCUGCAGCAUACAGACUGUUCGAAACAAUAGAGAGGAAACCUGAAAUAGAUUCAGAUGAUAUGAGUGGCAUGGUCUUGGAAAAUAUCAAGGGUGAUGUUGAGCUAAAGGAUGUGUACUUUCGCUACCCUGCAAGACCCGGGCAGUUAAUAUUAGAUGGAUUAUCAUUACAAGUAGCCAGUGGAACAACAAUGGCCAUAGUUGGAGAGAGUGGAAGUGGCAAGUCAACUGUUAUCAGCCUAGUUGAAAGAUUCUAUGAUCCACAGGCUGGCGAAGUUUUGAUAGAUGGAGUCAACAUCAAGAAUCUGAGUCUUGAUUGGAUAAGAGGGAAGAUCGGCCUUGUUAGCCAAGAACCAUUGUUGUUUAUGACCUCUAUUAAAGAUAACAUAAUCUAUGGUAAAGAAAAUGCAACACUUGAAGAGAUCAAGAGAUCAGCCGAGCUUGCAAAUGCAGCAAAUUUCAUCGAUAAGUUACCAAAUGGCUACGAUACAUUGGUUGGCCAACGUGGCACUCUACUUUCUGGAGGACAAAAGCAAAGAAUUGCAAUUGCGAGAGCCAUCCUUAAAGAUCCAAAAAUCCUUUUGCUAGAUGAAGCAACAAGUGCAUUGGAUGUGGAAUCUGAGAGGAUAGUCCAGGAGGCAAUCAAUAGGAUAUUGGUAGAAAGAACCACACUUGUCGUUGCUCAUCGUUUGAGCACUGUAAGGAAUGUUGACUGCAUCACAGUCGUUCAUCAAGGGAAAAUAGUCGAACAAGGUCCACAUCAUGCAUUGGUAAAGGAUCCCAAUGGAGCUUACUCCCAGCUUAUUAGGCUACAAGAAACUCGUGGUGAUGAAAGACGUAAAAUACAGGAUUCCGAAGUGCCCAAUUCCUUAUCAAAAAGCACUAGUUUGUCAGUUAGACGGUCAAUGACUAAUGUUUCUUUUGGCAAUAGCAACAGACACUCCUUCAAGAACACAUUAGGACUAUCAGUUGAGUUGCAUGAGGAUGCAAUCACAGAUGAACAGAACAAUGAGGACCUUCCCGAUGGGAUGACCCUUCAGAAAGAAGCAGUUGGACGCCUUUUUUAUCUUAACAAACCGGAGGUACCAUUUUUUCUGCUCGGCGCUAUAGCAGCAUCAGUGCAUGGAGUCAUUUUGCCAUUGUACGGCCUACUAAUGUCUGGCAGUAUAAAAUCAUUCUACGAGCCACCAGAUAAGCUGCGAAAAGAUUCUAGCUUUUGGGCAUUGAUAUUUGUAGUUCUGGGGAUUGCAUCUUUCAUUGCAAUCACAGCAGAAUAUCUUUUGUUUGGAAUUGCUGGUGGCAAGCUUAUAGAGCGUGUUCGUACUCUGUCAUUUCAAAAUAUUGUGCAUCAGGAAGUUGCUUGGUUUGAUAAUCCCUCAAAUUCCAGUGGUGCACUUGGUACACGACUCUCAGUUGACGCAUUAAACGUUCGGCGCUUAGUAGGAGAUAACCUGGGCCUUAUAGUACAGUUUGCAUAUGAGAAUUAA
rnacentral:rRNA from 1 species